ensembl:lncRNA
AUUUCCUACAGCUCAGAGUUACACUUCACAUUCCUGCUGUCACAUCAAAAAGCUUCACUUUGGUCCAACAUCUACAUGUUAACAUGAAACACAGACAGACUCAGAACAUCUGGAACAUCUGCACUUUGACCCAAACUGUUAUAGCAGGAUAUUUUCUGCAUAUUUCUUAUGUUGGACCUGUUUGAACUGUAAACGACCUGUAAUCAUCUGUAAAUGGUGUGAGACACACUGAGGCCACCUACAGGGCAGCUGGGGAACAGCAGGGAUCUGAAAUCAUAUGAGACGUUAGUGAGUGAGAAGAACAAACGGACUUAAGAUGGCUCGAAGUGAUCAAAGUUGAUCUAAAACAGAAGAUAAAUCCACUGAUUCUUUGUAAAGUUCAUCUGCUGCUCACAUGAAUCCAUGAAAGAUUUAUUUCACUGAAUGUUUCUUCAAAGCUCAUUUCAACCUGUUGAAGUCAUGAAUGAAAGUGCAGACUGAGAGUGGAUCACAUGAUGUUUGAGGUGUGUCAUGUGACAUGUUCAGUAUUGUCACACAUGUCUAGAUUGUCCCUGAUAUCAUAACUGCUCAAACACUGAUGAUUAUAUUUGAAGAAUUAUUCCUGAUGGCAGCAAAGUUUGAAUGGAGCUCUCUGUCUGUGCUGAUUUGUCGCCCUCUGGAGGUCAAAGCACAAACCUACAGGGCAGGCCAGAGAUGCUCUUCAAACAGCUGACAGACAUGACCACAUUACAAGAACAUGGUGUGAGUCCGAUUUGAUAUUCCAGUCAACGCUGAGAGACCUUAACCAGGAAGUCAGAGGUCAGCUGAUGCUGCGAGCAGGAAGUGAACCAAGGGAAAGGUCCACUCUACUCAAUCUCAAAGAAAAUAUGCUGACGGACAGGGAAUCAGUUGCUGUACGAUGACAUCAUCUUGAUGUUGACGAGGAGGGCGAGAAAAACUAGUUUUGUCCUGCAGAUGGCGAUCUUGCACCGUGUCCAGAGAGCCGACACUUUGAUGGUGCUGCUCUACUCAGCUUACUUUAGCCUGGGUUGGACUCUAUAUGAGCAGCUUCCACUCUGGUUUCACUCUUAAAC